rnacentral:sRNA from 5 species
UGCCUUUUUGCUAUGCGCAAUAUUUAUGAUUCGAACCUGUAGCAGGUUCGGGUCGAACGUAGUGAGACAACGGAGCCGCUAGCGGCGACGGCCCGAAGGGCGAGCGAAGCGAGUCAUCCUGCACGACCCACCA